AUGAACGCUAGCGACAGGCCUAACACAUGCAAGUCGAGGGGCAGCACAAGGAGCAAUCUGAGGUGGCGACCGGCGCACGGGUGAGUAACACGUAUGCAACCUGCCUGUAAGCGGGGAAUAACCCGUUGAAAGACGGACUAAUACCGCAUAAUACUAAAUUACUGCAUGGUAAUUUAUUUAAACAUUUAUGGCUUACAGAUGGGCAUGCGCAUGAUUAGCUAGUUGGAGAGGUAACGGCUCCCCAAGGCAACGAUCAUUAGGGGUUCUGAGAGGAAGGUCCCCCACACUGGUACUGAGACACGGACCAGACUCCUACGGGAGGCAGCAGUGAGGAAUAUUGGUCAAUGGACGAGAGUCUGAACCAGCCAAGUCGCGUGCAGGAAGAAUGUCCCUAUGGAUUGUAAACUGCUUUUGCAGGGGAAUAAAGUGCAUCACGUGUGAUGUUUUGUAUGUACUCUGAGAAUAAGGAUCGGCUAACUCCGUGCCAGCAGCCGC
rnacentral:rRNA from 1 species